CAAUAGAGCCGUUAGGCUGAAAGAAAAUACGUCUUUCACACAUAGAAGGACAAAGAAACUCAAAUAAUGGCGACAACUAUCAGCACGGCUUACUUCGUUGGUAGAUCGGAGAUUCUCGCUUGGAUCAACUCAACUCUUCAGCUCAACCUCUCUAGAGUCGAAGAGGCAUGUUCCGGUGCGGUUCAUUGCCAACUGAUGGAUGCGGUUCAUCCAGGGAUGGUCCCGAUGCACAAAGUCAACUUCGAUGCCAAGAACGAGUACGAGAUGAUCCAGAACUACAAGGUCCUUCAAGAUGUCUUCAACAAGCUUAAGAUCACCAAGCAUGUUGAGGUGAGCAAGCUGGUAAAAGGAAGGCCGCUUGAUAACCUGGAGUUCAUGCAAUGGAUGAAGAGGUACUGCGACUCUAUUAACGGAGGCCUUAUGCACAGUUAUAACCCAUUGGCAAGGAGAGAAGCUAGCAAAGGAGGGAAAGAAGUAAGCAAGAAAUCUGCAGCAUCACAAUCUACAACCAAAGGUUCCACUGCAGCUUCAAAAGCUCAGUCCUCACACAGUGCUCGAAGGAACGAUGCAUCUUUUGUAAACCCUACAAAUCAAGCAAUUAAGGCUUCUAAACCUUCUGUUGCAGUGCCAGCAUAUGAUGAACAGAUCACAGAGUUAAAGCUGUCAGUGGAUAGCCUUGAGAAAGAGAGGGACUUCUACUUUGCAAAGCUGAGAGAUGUUGAAAUUUUGUGUCAGAGUGCUGAGUUUGAACGCUUGCCUAUUGUUGCAGCAAUUAAAAGGAUUCUAUAUGCUACAGACGAUGAUGCAUCGGUGAUGGCCGAAGCGCAAGCCAUGUUGUCCCACCAACAGCAGGAAGCAGAACCAUUGAGUCCCAUUGCAGAGGCAUCAGAAGAGAGAGCAAGCUCAGAUACUCAAAAGAGGAAAAACAUUAUGAAUCUUGAGGUUGAUGCUGCUGGCAUCUCAACCUUGUCUCCAAGGCGACGACUUUCCGAUGUAUCAGAUGUACAUUGCGAAAUAGGGUGACGUGGAGGUGUUUGCAUGAAAUCAGGCCCUUCUACUAUGUCUAAGUUAUAGUCCAUUGAAGAAGACUAAGCAGCCAGACACAAAAUCUCUUUGAAAACAAAAGAAGGGGAUUAACAUAAAUAAUUAUUGAACAAUUCACUAAAAUCUGAGCUGAUCUCUGUAACCUUCAAUAUGAAUUCAGAAACUAGGACGGUGGUUAAAACUACAAAUCCACAAGGAGGAGUUGAGAGAAGGGUGGAAACCGUUAAAUAUGAUUCAUCAGGCGGGCAAGGCCAACAGGUGAGGAGUGUGGAGGUGGUUCACCACCUCCCUCCUAACACCAGUGAUGGUGUCUCGGCGGCGACAGGUGCCACUUCUGCCGCGGAAUCCAUUCUCCAAUCUGCCAAGGAAGCCAUCUAAAAAUAAAUAAAUGCUUGACCUUCCCAAUUGCAAAUGAGUUUUAUUUAUUUAUUUAUUUUUAUAACUUGAGAAUAUCUUCUUGAA